GCAGCCAUCAUUUAAAGAGUGCGUAAUAGCUCACUAGUCGAGUGACACUGCGCCGAAAAUGUACCGGGGCUAAACAUAUUACCGAAGCUGUGGAUUGUCCUUUGGACAAUGGUAGGAGAGCGUUCUAAGGGCGUUGAAGCAUGAUCGUAAGGACAUGUGGAGCGCUUAGAAGUGAGAAUGCCGGUGUGAGUAGCGAAAGACGGGUGAGAAUCCCGUCCACCGAUUGACUAAGGUUUCCAGAGGAAGGCUCGUCCGCUCUGGGUUAGUCGGGUCCUAAGCUGAGGCCGACAGGCGUAGGCGAUGGAUAACAGGUUGAUAUUCCUGUACCACCUAUAAUCGUUUUAAUCGAUGGGGGGACGCAGUAGGAUAGGCGAAGCGUGCGAUUGGAUUGCACGUCUAAGCAGUAAGGCUGAGUAUUAGGCAAAUCCGGUACUCGUUAAGGCUGAGC
rnacentral:rRNA from 1 species